rnacentral:rRNA from 1 species
AGCUAGUUGGUGAGGUAACGGCUCACCAAGGCGACGAUGCGUAGCCGACCUGAGAGGGUGAUCGGCCACACUGGGACUGAGACACGGCCCAGACUCCUACGGGAGGCAGCAGUAGGGAAUCUUCCGCAAUGGACGAAAGUCUGACGGAGCAACGCCGCGUGAGUGAUGAAGGUUUUCGGAUCGUAAAGCUCUGUUGUUAGGGAAGAACAAGUGCAAGAGUAACUGCUUGCACCUUGACGGUACCUAACCAGAAAGCCACGGCUAACUACGUGCCAGCAGCCGCGGUAAUACGUAGGUGGCAAGCGUUGUCCGGAAUUAUUGGGCGUAAAGGGCUCGCAGGCGGUUUCUUAAGUCUGAUGUGAAAGCCCCCGGCUCAACCGGGGAGGGUCAUUGGAAACUGGGAAACUUGAGUGCAGAAGAGGAGAGUGGAAU